ensembl:lincRNA
CUGUCCAUUUAGAACCUCCCAGUGCAGGGCCCUGAUCCCCCUCCUCCAGGAAGCCCUCCGGAAUGCACCCACCACAGCAACUCCUCGACUUCUCCAGCAACCCCUGGAGAGAGUUGUGUUCCUCCUCGCAACUCCUCCUCGCAGGAGCCAGGCCAGAACCUGGGGCUGAGUGGCUAAGCCCACUGAGGAAUGAGCAUGAGUAGGGUCGCCGUGGAUGAAGCAUGGGUCGCUCUCAUCCACUUCUUCUUCAACCUGGCGGGCAUCCUGCUGUGGUACAUGGUGCCCAUCCUCCGGCUGCCCAUCCCGCUGGCCAAGCACUUUGGGAACCUGACCGCCAGCUACCGCUGGGUGGCCGUCGCCUACCUGCUGCUCUGCUUCCUGGUGCUGCCACUGGCCGCCUUUGGGCUCUCCCUGGCGGGGGGCGCAGUGCUGGCUGCGGUCGGGGCACCCCUGGUAGUGCUGCUGCUCCUCUUCGCCCUGGUCACUGUCCUGCAGCGGCACCGGCCCGCCUGGCUGCCCCGCCGCCUGCGCUCCUGGGCCUGGCUGCCCCUCUGGCUCCGCUCUCUGGAGCCCUGGGACCUCCUGGUGAGAGGCUGCUGCCCCUGCAAGGCCUGCAGCCCCCCUCAGGCUGCGGCCAAGGAGGCCCACUGUUACGAGAACCCCCAGGUUCUGGCCUCCCAGCAGUUGUGAAGGGUGGAUGUGCCUCACCCUCUCGCCCCACUGGCCUCUGGCGGCCCAGGGGGAUCCCAGUAGCUCCGGACUUCUGAGUCACCUGGGUCGCCUUCUUUGCAAAUAAAAAAAGCCUGGACCCAAGUGUGGGCCGUCUUCUCUCCCCAAUCCGGGGCUGCAUGGGGAGGGCCCCCCUCGACACCCAACUUCCCUCCACCCCACCUUCGACCCCAAACUUUCCCCACCCCACCCCCACCCCGCCCGGGAGAGAGCUGGGGGUGGGGCAGUGCCUUUGCCGCCCCCCAGCGGACACUCGGGGGCCAGCGCCGAGCCCGAGUAGGAGCUGGAAGUCCCCGGAGGUGCGGCCAAACAGCCGAAGCCCGAGCUGUGACUGACUCUCCACGGCCGCCGGCGGCAGAAGGCCCUGAGNNNNNNNNNNNNNNNNNNNNNNNNNNNNNNNNNNNNNNNNNNNNNNNNNNNNNAGCACGGACCCGGCGUGGGGGCGGGGGUGGGGGGUGGGGAUGGGUUGCCUGUUUCUCGGUUUGCAGCUGCGACCAGUGAUCACCUUCUGAUCCAGGGAUGCUGCCCUGAAGAUGGGGGCCACCUUCCUUCCCAGCCCCCCAGGUGUGCCUAGCCAAACCCGAUAGGGGGACAGGUGUGAAUGGUCAGGAAGAUGAGACCGGGACCCCAGAACCAAUUCCUGUCCACAGUGGCGUCCUCUCACUCGGGUUCUCACAGACCCCCCUUCCCGUGUCCCCCAGUCCCUCUCAGCUCCAUGUCUCCUGUCCUCCCAACAGGCCUCUAGGUCUCCUGAGCCUGGGGCUCACCCUGGCCUCUGGAGGAGCGAGCCGCUUGGUCUGAGACCCACAAGGGGCCUCGUGGGAACAAGACCCCUGGGGCAGGUCCAUGUACCUGUUUUUGGCUUCCUCCCACUUUUGUGACCUCAGGACACAGCUGCCCUUCUGAUAUCAGCCUGACUCUCAUGGAAGUCCCUGAGGAGGGGCUGGGCCUGGCUGUUUCCCCAGGGACACGGUGGGGGAGGGGGCUCACCCUCCCCGUGGUGGGAAGGCAGUGAGAAGGGAAGCAAGUACCCAGCGCGUGCACCUCUCCUUCGGGGCCGGGUGAGGCCGCCCACAAAGGCUGACUGCUGGGUCCUUUGAGGCCAUGAACCAGGCGGUAAUGCAGCCUCCCGCUGGGACCAUGGCCACCGGUAAACAGAGCUGUCGUUGAGGACGCCUUCAACAGCUGCAAGCUCGGGCGGGAGGGCCAGGUGCCCCGCACUCCCACAGCCCCUGCCCACUCUGCCUUGCGUCCCGCUGGGCCACAGAGCCCCACUGGGCCCAGACCUCCCCCCAGCCUGGACCCGGUGGCUCACUGGAGCCCACCUCCACCCUGCGGCAGGCACGCCCUUGGUCAAGGGUGGGGACCUGCAGGGCCUCCCCCCCAACCUGCCCUGUGCAGCAGUGCCAACUGUGGUCCUUGGCCGAGGGCCACGGGUAGGCCUGCUGCCUUGUUUCCGGCCAGUGUUCACUUUGGGAGAGUGAGGUGGGCAACCUGGUGCCAAGAGGGGCCCUGGGGCUCAUACUGGGGGGUGACACAACUGUUUUGUUACCUGUAAAGCAGGGGUGCCACGCUGAACUCCCGGCUUUGCGGGCACUGGUCACAGGAAGCAGAGACUUCUGCCAGUGGGGGUCUCAGCCCAGGGUGGGGGGCGAGGAGGGCAGGCUCUGACAAACAUUUCAAAGUGCCCCAGCUCACUGGCUCGCUUGGAGCAAAGUCUGAGUUUUUCCCUUUCUCGCUGAUCCGUGACGACUCGGUGCAGCCUCCCUGCUGCAGUGCAGGGCCUCGCAGGCCUGCUUGGGCAGCUAAGCUACUUUGCAGAGCUAGAUGCCAGGCAGGGACCCUGCACACACGACAAGCCACUGCCUGUGGCCAGCACCAGCCGGGCCCACCUUCCUGGACUAGUGCAGGGGAAGGGGCUGGUCCCCUAAGCUCUUCAGGAACUAUUACUUUGACAUGCUGACUCACGCUUCAGGUCAGGCUCAGGACUGCAGCUGCAGACCACUCUCAGGGUAUGGAAAGACUCAUCCCUAUGCCAGCGUGCUAUCUACCAACCGUUUCACCCCCAGAUUAAGUGUACCGUGAAGUGCCCUAAUGCUGCAGCACGCCAGGAAACGGCGCUGUCAUGAAGUACACGGUGAAGAGCAAGCACAAUCUCUCUAGGUAGAAAUGACCAGGGGUUGCCCACAACAUCCAUGGGCUGGAGAGCAAACGAGGGUAAGAACCUCACUGAGAAAACCAGAAUCGAGAGAGGACCCGUGGCCACAGCGAGAGAGACUGUCCAUGGCGAACAUUACGAAAACAUAACGCAAGCGUACUGUUUUUGAAAUGAUUGAUUAAAAGUGUGACUACAUGCAAGUUAACUGUUUUUUUUUUUAAUAAGUUUUUUUUUUUUUUCCCCUCCAAACAAAAUUCAAGGAAAAGUACAAGCAUUUGUUCAGCCAGGUGUACCUAUCUGUGGUUGCCCAGAGCCCUGGGCGCGGCCCUCGUGUCUCCACGCGGGUCUGUGAGCUCCUGGGGCCAAGGCACCAAGGCAACAGGCGCCAGGCCAGCGCGGUCUCCACAACAAGCCGCAAGCCGCUGCCGGGCAGGGCCCGGUCCCGCUCCCCCUGCCCCCCCCCCCCCACACC